GGUGAGAUGGCCGAGCGGUCUAAGGCGCUAGAAUCAGGUCUUGUAUCUGAACUAUCUAGUCAUUCGUGGCGUGGGUUCGAAUCCCACUCUCAUCA